AUAGGCGGGGGAAAAGAAACUAACAAGGAUUCCCCUAGUAGCGGCGAGCGAAGCGGGAAGAGCUCAAAUUUAUAAUCUGGCACCUUCGGUGUCCGAGUUGUAAUCUCUAGAAGUGUUUUCCGCGUUGGACCGCACACAAGUCUGUUGGAAUACAGCGGCAUAGUGGUGAAACCCCCGUAUAUGGUGCGGACGCCCAGCGCUUUGUGAUACACUUUCAAUGAGUCGAGUUGUUUGGGAAUGCAGCUCAAAUUGGGUGGUAAAUUCCAUCUAAAGCUAAAUAUUGGCGAGAGACCGAUAGCGAACAAGUACCGUGAGGGAAAGAUGAAAAGCACUUUGGAAAGAGAGUUAACAGUACGUGAAAUUGUUGGAAGGGAAACGCUUGAAGUCAGACUUGCUUGCCGGAGCUUGCUUCGGUUUGCAGGCCAGCAUCAGUUUUCCGGGGUGGAUAAUAACGGUUUGAAGGUAGCAGUCUCGGCUGUGUUAUAGCUUUCCGUUGGAUACAUCCUGGGGGACUGAGGAACGCAGCGUGCUUUUUGCGAAAGACUCGUCUUUUCACGCUUAGGAUGCGGGAA
rnacentral:rRNA from 1 species